GCCUUCGUGGUGUAGUGGUCAAAGCACUCGAUUCGUAACCAAGAGGUCCAUGGUUCGAUUCCCGAUGAAGGCG
rnacentral:tRNA from 1 species